rnacentral:rRNA from 1 species
GCUCAGAGUGAACGCUGGCGGUAGGCCUAACACAUGCAAGUCGAACGGCAGCACAGGAGAGCUUGCUCUCUGGGUGGCGAGUGGCGGACGGGUGAGGAAUACAUCGGAAUCUACUUUUUCGUGGGGGAUAACGUAGGGAAACUUACGCUAAUACCGCAUACGACCUACGGGUGAAAGCAGGGGAUCUUCGGACCUUGCGCGAUUGAAUGAGCCGAUGUCGGAUUAGCUAGUUGGCGGGGUAAAGGCCCACCAAGGCGACGAUCCGUAGCUGGUCUGAGAGGAUGAUCAGCCACACUGGAACUGAGACACGGUCCAGACUCCUACGGGAGGCAGCAGUGGGGAAUAUUGGACAAUGGGCGCAAGCCUGAUCCAGCCAUACCGCGUGGGUGAAGAAGGCCUUCGGGUUGUAAAGCCCUUUUGUUGGGAAAGAAAUCCAGCUGGCUAAUACCCGGUUGGGAUGACGGUACCCAAAGAAUAAGCACCGGCUAACUUCGUGCCAGCAGCCGCGGUAAUACGAAGGGUGCAAGCGUUACUCGGAAUUACUGGGCGUAAAGCGUGCGUAGGUGGUCGUUUAAGUCCGUUGUGAAAGCCCUGGGCUCAACCUGGGAACUGCAGUGGAUACUGGGCGACUAGAGUGUGGUAGAGGGUAGCGGAAUUCCUGGUGUAGCAGUGAAAUGCGUAGAGAUCAGGAGGAACAUCCAUGGCGAAGGCAGCUACCUGGACCAACACUGACACUGAGGCA